rnacentral:rRNA from 1 species
UACAGAGGGGGCAAGCGUUGUUCGGAAUUACUGGGCGUAAAGGGCGCGUAGGCGGCCUGUUAAGUCGAACGUGAAAUCCCUGGGCUCAACCCAGGAACUGCGUCCGAUACUGGAAGGCUUGAAUCCGGGAGAGGGAUGCGGAAUUCCAGGUGUAGCGGUGAAAUGCGUAGAUAUCUGGAGGAACACCGGUGGCGAAGGCGGCAUCCUGGACCGGUAUUGACGCUGAGGCGCGAAAGCCAGGGGAGCAAACGGG